UGCACGCUCCUUAGAUCCGUUUCAUCCUCAAUGUGAAACGCUUGAGUCAUAAGUGUGCUAGAUCAUGAUACCUCCAUACUAAGACUGAGAUGUGGUAUUCCUAUGGAUGGCACUUGUCUUGGAAUGGGGAACAU